GAGAAGCAGAAUCCUUCCUGACUUCCACCUUGCUCUAUGUUCUUCAGUGAAAUAAAAAGCUCAGAGCCCUGGCACGGAGCAGACAUCGCUGGGUAUGUGGGAAGCAGGCCUGAGAAAGGUCAGCAGUGAGCUGACGGCAGGCCAGUCACAAAGAGAAUUCCAAUGGCUGGGCUCACGAUCAAACACACCGCGGGUAACCCAAGAAUGAGCUUCUGAACACCCCUCCGGCACAACUGUUAGCUGACACGAUGUCAUGUGCCCUGCAUUCGCAGGUGCUCAAAACAGACACUUGCUAGCACCUCCUGUCCUUAAUGAGGCACCGUGUAUGGACCCAACAGCUGCAGGUGCUGAGUCAGGCCCGCCUGGCGCUCUCAAAGAGCUCACAGGCUCACCGGGCGGGCACACGCUCGAAAACACUGAAAAGUGUGCAAAGCACAAGUCCACGCGACGUUGUUUUGAGGGUCUGGAAGAGCUCCGUGGAUGAUGACUUCUGAAUCGAGCCUGCACACCCAACAGGAUUUCCAUGAAUGAGGAGGGGGAAAAUAGGCCCAGGGAACAAGACAUGCUAAGCGCCGUAAGGAGGCGUUCAGGCUGUUCUUAGGGAAAGUGACUAAUCUGCUGAGGCCAGUGGCAGAGCACACGGAGGGAUGCGGUGGGAGACGAGGCUGCAAAGGAAUGUUGCGGCCAAGACAUGAAGGACCUUAUGUGCCAGGCUAAAGCACUUGGAUCUUGACACUCAUGGGUACUGCGUCCCGGGACAUGACGCAGGAGAAAGUUAAAUAGCAGAGCUACCCCUUUAAGAACUGACGGCCCUUCCGUUGAGCCUCCAAGCACAGGGAGGGUGGGAGGGUCUGAAGGACAGCUUCCUCCUCCCAAUGGACCCCUUCUCCAUGGCCCCACCCACAGAGAAGUCAGACAAGUGGGUGGCUCUCAGAGGUGCCCCAACCCACACGUCGGUGGACCUUUCCCUCUAGUCUGGAACUCCCAACCAUGAAAGACCCAGAAAAGACACCACGUCUCUUGUUCCAGGCAGGAUUUCCACUCUGCCUUCAGGGAAAUGCCAGCACUACCCAACCUGAUGAACCAGAACACGGGCCGAACACAGGCUCCAGCCUCUUUCCUGUUAACUAAGCAGAAGCCAGAGGCCUAUCCAGCACACCCUGUGUGUGCCCAAAGCUCCCUAUCACGGAGCUCUUCCGUCCAGGCCUGGUACCAUGUGACCGGGGCCUCCAACCAGUAAGGAGCCUGCCCUGACGUCACCAGUUAGGUCCUAUGGAACCUUUCCCUUAAAGGAGCCUUUGCAGCAGUCCCAUUUGUUAAAGGCACAGGCAAGAUGUUUUUCACUUCCUGCCCAAAAAGGAGCUCCUGGUCUAGAAGGAGGGAUAAAACAUAAACCAAGUAGGAGAUGGUGAGUACCAUGGAAGAAGGACAGGUGAUACAAAUCCUCACAAAUAACCCUGUGACUCAAUGUGAUUUCUUAACCCAUUUGACGGAUAUGGAACCUCGGGCUCAAGCAGGUUAACUGACCUGGCGGAUCACACAGCUAGAAGUGCCACAGCCAAGAUUUGAAUGCUCAGAAUCACCAUAGAGCUAUAUACUCUAUUGCCCCACAGCCCAUUGUGAUGCGAGCUGGCAGAAGAGAGAACAGAGAGAUCCUUUCUAGUAUGGGGCAGUGUGAACGGUGGAGAGUAGAUGGUGAUCACAGGUCACCUCAGUCAGAAGGUGGCCAUCCAGGCAGAAGUGUUUAAGAGGAACAGAAGGUCUCUGGAUGAAGACAGAGGAGGGCCCCUCAGGCUAAGAGAACAGCAUGAGAUAAAGCAUGAAGAGUCCACCUCCAAAUCCCACGGAAAGAAGAGCUCCCCUGGGAAAGCAGCUGUCCACACCCCAAAUUAAAGUGGCCAGCGCUCCCAGCAACAUGUCCCAUCACCCUGCAAGCCCCAGGUCUGCGAGCAGAAAGGCCAUUCGCUCUGUCAAUAAGGAUGUACUCACGGAUCCUGUUCUACUGUUGGCUGCAAAGGCUUUCUGCGUGCCAUGUACCAAUUUUUCAGAAUCACCACCCACCUCCUGGCCUGAACCAUGAGGCAGCUAGUUCUCAUCCCUGGGGGAGUCUUCAAGCAAUGAAUAGCACUACUCAGAGGGCCAAGGCACCCAAGCCCUAAGCCCAGGUCAGCCCACUCCUUAAGAUUUUGGAAAAAUCAGUUCUCUUGGGGUUUAUAUUCUUUCAUCUACAAACGGGGUCAAUAUCACAAAACUGUCCAACUACGUGUGCUACAAGCAGCUUCUACUUGGUCUAUCCAAAGAGUCACAGCACACUUAUUCUGAUUACUUGUUUUAUCUUUUGGCGAACAUGCCAUAAAUACCUGAAAAGCAGCAAGCAUUUCUUAUUUAUUGCGUGUUUAAUAAAUGAGCACAAAUAUAAGUGAUUAUUAAAUGAGGUAGGGAAACAGGAUCAGAGAACCUUCCGGCACAUGCCAGAACCAUAACUCAGCACAGAAUCCCGGCCACUGCGGUCCUCCCCAGAGGUCCCAGAGGCAGUCUGAGGAGGGUAAAAGGAUGAUCCUCGUUUGUAACUGAGAAGACUGGACAUGGAGCCCUGUGACUUGUGGUUCUGUAGAAAGACUGUCAUCCUGUCAGGAGCUCAGAGUCCCUUCCAAUAUUCCAGCAGAAACAUACCAGCAGAGGGAAAAGACAUUCCAUGGAAAAUAGCUGCCCACAGAUGGCCUGGGAACUCUGGAAACCAGGGAGUAAGCAGACUACAGAGAUAGGUAUGAAAACCAAGAACAAAGAGUCUGUGUCUACCCUCCAUUUUGCAAAAAUAGCACUUGGAGACCAGCUUCCAUAUUCACAAAAGGGACCCUCAUUCCUUAACAUAUGUGUGCCUCUCUUCCUCUUGACCACUGCGAACCACUGGCUCUGGGAUCUUGAGAGGAGAGAAGACCACUAAGCCCGAUGUCCCGCCUGAUUAUAAAUCCUGCCCCCCCCCCAUGGUGUCCAUGACAUCUCCAGUGAGGUGGCGACCAUCAUCUCUUACAGCUGCAAAUUCCAUCUUUCCAACAGAAAGUUCUUCCUUAUACGGAAACCAAGUCCGGCUCCUGGCUUUCCCGUGCCUCAUUCUGCCUCUUUGAACCAUAUGAACAACCGAUGUCUGUUCCAUUGGCUUGGAAUUUUUGUAGGUGAAUCCGGAUACAGAAACGAAGCUGCCCAAGAUCUCAACCCUGAGUCACUCCGGCCGUUUCCUGACCAUAUCACCCUGCUUGCUCCUAAUGUAUCUGGUGCCACCUUGAAAUCCAUCCUUUUCAGGCUUUUCCAGGAAGUACUAUUGCUAAGCAGUCCAUUCUGCACAUGGACCCCUGGCCUUGUGGACUCACAAGACGUGCCCUGUGAAAUCCCAGUCCCUGAGAAAUGAGAGGAGAGACAUCUUCGAGACCAUUUCUUCGGCCACAUUCCCACCCUUUGUGGACAGAGCUCAGGGCUGUGGAUCCCAUUCCCGGCUCCCCAUUCCUGGUCUCCUGUCCUGCCAGACCUAGCAUUGUCUCCAGGAUACAUGGCUGUUCCAAGGAACAUUAAGAGAGAGCUCUGCAGGAAAAGAGGGCCUUGCCAACUCAAACGCUCUCAGAAUAAUAACCAAGCAGCCUACAGGCAGGACAGCAGUGCCAGCUUGCUGAUCGCAGGGCUGGGAGCUCGUGAUCCCUGACUAACUACCCCGGCACCAUUCUGGACUUCAUUGUCUUUACAAAUCGGGGGAAAAAAUGUUCUUUUGUGCUGCAGUUCUGAUGGCACGGCUUGGAGUCAGGGCACAUGCAGCAAUGAUGCCUCACAUUAGCAACAUGCUUUACUAGUUGAUAAAUGCUUUCCCAGACAGUCUCAUUUAAUCCCUACUGGCAACUCCACUGGGAGUAUUGUACCCAAUUACGUGACAGGAAAACUGAGGCUCAGAGAGGUGAAGUAUAUUCCUAAAGUCACACCAACAGUAAGUAAUUAGAGGAAUGCUGGUUUAGAAGUUAGACGACUAACAGUUCCAACUCUGCUAAGUACUAACUGUAUGACCCCUGGCCAACUUUAACUUUCCUAAGCCUCAGUUUCUACACCUGAAAAUUAGAGAUUAAAAUGGCCCUUCUGCCUCCUCCCAGAGCAGUUACGAGGAUCAAAUGAGAUAAUGAGACUUAAAACCCUCUGGAAAACGGGAAGGCGUUCCAAAAGUGUAAGGGAUUAUUGUGUGAUUACUUGUAAAUGACUGUGCAUUCCAUUACAAAUACAAAAAAGCGGUGAGGUCAUCCUCGAGACAAAGAAACAUUAAGGCUCUGGGAACGAAAGGGAAAUGAUCUGAUGUUCUACAGGUUUCUGUCUGUGUGCUUCUCACUGGUAGCUGAACCUCAGCAUCAACUGUCAGAUUUUCAGCCGCCAAGUCGCAUGUGCCAACAGGACUCUCAAGACAGUGCUCCCUUUUCAGCUACAAGCAAAUGCCGGCCCGAAAGGAGGUAAUGGAGAGAGGGAUGUCUGGGAGACCCUCCGAGAGUCUCAGUUCCGGAAACAUGACCUACGACGUUCUCCUUGGAGAAGUUGUUAGAAAUACAGGCUCCAGUCCCUCUGCAAUAAGCCCACAGGGAAAUAAACGUACAGGAACGAGCUAUUUACCAGAGAGCACUGAGGAGGCUCCCAAGCAUGAAUUAAUCAAGGACACAGGGUAUUUCAAGCUUCAGACACCAAAAAGAUGGAAAUCAGCAAACCAUUAAACAUCCGAACACAUCUCACAGAGGCUCAACCUGGAAUGCAUGCAGCCCAGGCAACGGAGAGGUGUGCCUGCGUACCAGAGCUCCCGCUGCAGGUCUCGUGGGGGCGGAAGGGACCCGGGGAAGCUCGGAGAGCACAGCCACUGGUCUGGUGUCCUUCAGGCCCCUGCCAACACGCUGGUCAUCAGGAUGCUCCUCAGUGUCUGCAAAGGUCCAAGUCAUCAUCGUCGUGCAUGGGAAGGGCCAGAUCUGCCCCAGAAAUCCAUGCCCAAGGCUGGUGAGCACACAGCUCAGUGAUGAUUAUUUCCUGGUUUGCACCUUAUCAUCUCCUUCCUUGUGCUUCACAUUGGAGACAGGCACUAAAUAAAUUUAUCACAGAGGUGUGUGCAUACCUA